CCUACGGGAGGCUGCAGUGAGGAAUAUUGGUCAAUGGCCGGAAGGCUGAACCAGCCAUGCCGCGUGAAGGUCAGUGCCCUAUGGGCGUUAAACUUCUUUUGUGCGGGAGCAAUAAUGGUCACGUGUGGCCAGACGAGAGUACCGUACGAAUAAGCAUCGGCUAACUCCGUGCCAGCAGCCGCGGUAAUACGUAGGGAGCAAGCGUUAUCCGGAUUUAUUGGGUGUAAAGGGUGCGUAGACGGAGAAGCAAGUUAGUUGUGAAAUCCCUCGGCUUAACUGAGGAACUGCAACUAAAACUACUUCCCUUGAGUACUGGAGAGGAAAGUGGAAUUGCUAGUGUAGCGGUGAAAUGCGUAGAUAUUAGGAGGAACAUCAGUGGCGAAGGCGACUAUCUGGCACAUAACUGACGCUGAGGAGCGAAAGCGUGGGUAGCAAACAGGAUUAGAUACCCGGGUAGUC
rnacentral:rRNA from 1 species